GUGCCCACUUUGGCAGCACUUAUACUAAAAUUGAAAUUAUACAGAGAAGAUUAGCAUGGCCCCUGCACAAGGAUGACACCCAAAUUCUUGAAUUGUUCCCUAUUUUU
rnacentral:snRNA from 1 species